AAGAUUAAUCAUCACAUGAGGCAUUUCAAUAACUAAUAUCGAGUCUCAAAUCAUCACAAACUUGUCAAGGAAAUCUAGAUACCUAUAGCAGGAGCAAACUUGCACCCCUCUCACAUAGGUAGUAUGUACAGUUUGUCCAAAUGGUAAUCGAAAAAAAGAUUAUUACAUUACAUUCCACUAUUUUGACACUUGGUAUAACUAUUAAAUGCAACAGAAAUUCACUUCACUAAGCAUAAACAGCCAUGAGUUUACUCACUAGUUGCAAUCAGUAGUACAAAUUGAGCCAAAUUGCACUUGAGCCUAGGUUCUAAGUACCUUAGAAGUCCCAUAAAUUGAUAAAUCUACACCAUGAGCUUUCUAUUGAAUCGAAAAUAAACUAUUCACCAAAAAAAAGUUGAUUAGUAAAAAAUAGAAAAUUUAACCUCCAUCAUAAAGAAGUCUACCAUGCCUAACUCCAAUAGCAAAGCAGCUACAAUAAAAAAAAGAAAUUCAAUAAAUAAUAACAAUUUAAUCAGAAUUAAGCUGAUAAAUAAAAUACCUCAAAAAAUCGAAAAAAUAUUCUAAUCCAAAGAAGAGAAAAGAAAAAGAAAAGUAUCUUGUAAAACAAAGAUCCACAUCUAAAAAAGACUUGUUCUUUGUUAUUGGUAUUCUUAGUAUUGUUGAUUAAUUUAACAGAAAGAGAGAUAGAGCGAGAAAGAACCCGAGAGAACUAAGAAGAGACAGCCGCGAAGGGAGGUGAGAUGAAGCAGGGGAUUUGAGGAGUGAAACCUCCACGACACUUGUUCUCAAACAGCAGAUUUCAUUGAAAUCUAUGGUGGUUGCAUAAUAUGAAAAUUUUAGAAAGGAGAGGAGGAAGCAGGAAAAGAAACGGUGGUAGUUUGUGAAAAAAA
rnacentral:lncRNA from 1 species